rnacentral:tRNA from 1 species
CGCGGGAUAGAGCAGUUGGUUAGCUCACGAGGUUCAUUCCCUCGGCGUCGCAGGUUCGAAUCCUGCUCCCGCUA